GUGGCGAGCGGCGGACGGGUGAGUAAUGCCUGGGAAAUUGCCCGGUAGAGGGGGAUAACCAUUGGAAACGAUGGCUAAUACCGCAUAACCUCGCAAGAGCAAAGCAGGGGACCUUCGGGCCUUGCGCUACCGGAUAUGCCCAGGUGGGAUUAGCUAGUUGGUGAGGUAAGGGCUCACCAAGGCGACGAUCCCUAGCUGGUCUGAGAGGAUGAUCAGCCACACUGGAACUGAGACACGGUCCAGACUCCUACGGGAGGCAGCAGUGGGGAAUAUUGCACAAUGGGCGCAAGCCUGAUGCAGCCAUGCCGCGUGUAUGAAGAAGGCCUUCGGGUUGUAAAGUACUUUCAGUAGGGAGGAAGGUGGUUAAGUUAAUACCUUAAUCAUUUGACGUUACCUACAGAAGAAGCACCGGCUAACUCCGUGCCAGCCGCCG
rnacentral:rRNA from 1 species